CAGUAGCCACGGUAAUACGUAGGUGGCAAGCGUUGUCCGGAAUUAUUUGGCGUAAAGGGCUCGCAGGCGGUUUCUUAAGUCUGAUGUGAAAGCCCCCGGCUCAACCGGGGAGGGUCAUUGGAAACUGGGAAACUUGAGUGCAGAAGAGGAGAGUGGAAUUCCACGUGUAGCGGUGAAAUGCGUAGAGAUGUGGAGGAACACCAGUGGCGAAGGCGACUCUCUGGUCUGUAACUGACGCUGAGGAGUGAAAGCGUGGGGAGCGAACAGGAUUAGAUACCCCGGUAGUCCCUGUCUCUUAUAC
rnacentral:rRNA from 1 species